CUUCAAAGCCAUAUCCUCUCUCUAAAACUUCAGCCCUAACUUUCUCUGUCUUCUUUCUACCAAAUCUUCAAAUUGAACCGGUGCAUUGUCAUUUGGGUGGUGAUUCUGCGUUCUCGGAGUUGAGAGCUUCGACUUAAACCGAUCGGUUUCGCGUUCUAUAGCGGAUGUUGUUGAGGAGGUUCCUUUGAAACAAGAGUUGAAGGAUGCUCAUGCUGUAGUAUAGUCUUUUUAGAAUUUUUAAAUUUAAGUUGGUGUUAUUUUGAAAUACUCUAAACUAUUUAAGUUUUAAGUUAUGUCCUUUUUGUGAAUGACUGUAAUAUCAACUGAACUACUAUUCUACUA